AUGAACGCUGGCGGCGUGCCUAAUACAUGCAAGUCGAGCGAACGGACGAGAAGCUUGCUUUUCUGAUGUUAGCGGCGGACGGGUGAGUAACACGUGGAUAACCUACCUAUAAGACUGGGAUAACUUCGGGAAACCGGAGCUAAUACCGGAUAAUAUUUUGAACCGCAUGGUUCAAAAGUGAAAGACGGUCUUGCUGUCACUUAUAGAUGGAUCCGCGCUGCAUUAGCUAGUUUGUAAGGUAACGGCUUACCAAGGCAACGAUGCAUAGCCGACCUGAGAGGGUGAUCGGCCACACUGGAACUGAGACACGGUCCAGACUCCUACGGGAGGCAGCAGUAGGGAAUCUUCCGCAAUGGGCGAAAGCCUGACGGAGCAACGCCGCGUGAGUGAUGAAGGUCUUCGGAUCGUAAAACUCUGUUAUUAGGGAAGAACAUAUGUGUAAGUAACUGUGCACAUCUUGACGGUACCUAAUCAGAAAGCCACGGCUAACUACGUG
rnacentral:rRNA from 1 species